GACGAACGCUGGCGGCGUGCCUAAUACAUGCAAGUCGAACGCAGUGGGGACGGGUGAGUAACACGUGGGUAACCUCCCGAGAAAAGUGGAUAACACUUGGAAACAGGUGCUAAACCGAUACUGAUGGAUGGACCCGCGGUGCAUUAGCUAGUUGGUGGGGUAACGGCUCAACAAGGCCACGAUGCAUAGCCGGCCUGAGAGGGUGAGCGGCCACACUGGGACUGAGACACGGCCCAGACUCCUACGGGAGGCAGCAGUAGGGAAUCUUCGGCAAUGGACGAAAGCCUGACCGAGCAACGCCGCGUGAGUGAUGAAGGUUUUCGGAUCGUAAAACUCUGUUGUUAGAGAAGCGGUAUCUAACCAGAAAGCCACGGCUAACUACGUGCCAGCAGCCGCGGUAAUUC
rnacentral:rRNA from 1 species